UAGACCGCUAGUGUAUAAUUUGAUAUACAAUAAACUCCAGACUACAAACACGUUGAACCCGGAUUGAAAGCAUUUAAUAUUCAAAGAACGAUGCCACUCAUCUCAUAAAACAAUACGAUAGUUCCGUAUUCGUGGAAAGCUAACCGGAGCUAAUUGUGACAUUCUUUUACUUAAUGAAUGGGUACAAAAUGUAAUAGUAUGUUAACCUCUACAGCCGGACCUAUCAUUGUUACAAUUAUACCAAUACAGAUAGACUAAAAACUUGAUUUAAUGACUAAGCUAGACAGAGCUUCUUCGUGCUUAUAAACAAGCUAGUCAGCAUAGUUUAAUACAUGGCACCACACACUCUGUUUAACGUAGUUUAAUACAAAUCGCCACCCACUACAACAUAACACAGUUGGCUAGUACAACAUUAGUACAACAGUAGUACAACAUACCACAACAUUAGUUCCAGGCUAAACCUCUACCACAAAGACACAAGACAGUGACCAAUAGUUCAAGUCCUGGAUUCCUAACAAGCAAAACAAUUUUUAAAAAACAAGAAAUAUUAAAAAUUAGGCAAAUUGCAAGUUAAUUAUAGCGGCGACGGCGAGGGUCUGAUUCAUUUGGCGAAUCGGUGGAGCGCUUUCGCGUAGUCGGCUGGCUGUAAAUUUCCUCCGGAUAAUGGUCCCGGGGUGAGUUAGCGAUGCGGUUGAUCUGGUCAAGGAUGAAAGGCUGGGAAAGAAGGCUAUUGAUUCUUUCAACGGCGGUCUGGUCGUCUGGUGAAUAGUCUUGUACUGGCGUUGAUGCGCGAGGAGGCGUUGAAUGGAACGGUGUUGGCGGGCGGCGGCGGCGUUGCGGUGCAUUCACAAAGCGUGGUCGGCAUGGAUUGCGUGUCGGUGUAGUAAAAGCAUCAGACGUGGAAGGCAUUGUGGGUGACGGUGGAGUUGAAGAGCGGCGGCGUCCACCUCGUGGCGCAUCCAAAAGACGUGAGCGGUAUGGACUGCUGGCAGAAGAUGGUGACGUCAAGCGAAUCAAAUUGAAAGGCUGUGUGCGAGUCGGUGAAGGCAUUCGAUCCCGGGCAACGCGGGCAACAUUCCAACGAGAGGUAUGUGCUGGCUCCGUAAGGUAAUGGCUCAAAGUUGACAUGUCAGGAGAAGCGGGACUGUACUCCACCAUCUGGGUCGGUUCCGGUGUGCGAGAACGUUGUGGCAGGGAAAAUGCUAGCUCUUGCUCGUGGUCGUCAGGCAACGGAGAGUAGACGUUCUCGUAAGCGGCAGUAUAGACGAAGCCGUCGUUGAUUGGAGUGUAGAUGUGGCGGGUGUUGUCUGGAGGAUAGUCGUUGGCUGGAGUGUAGAAGCCAGUAGGUGGUUGUGGUGGUGGUGGAUUUGGCGGUGCGUAAAGCUGCAAGACUGAAUUGUAGGCGGCGCAAGGGCCAUACGGACCAACCAAAGAAAUAAGACGGGCGUCAUGGAAAAACUGAAUGUCUCCCUAUAAAUGACGGGGCAAUAAACUAAACCAAAACUAUCGUGGAACUUACCAAAAUCAUAUUAGCCAGAUGGAUAGCAUGCACCCAGGCAUCCGGAAGAUUAUCCAUGGCGCUUACGUUUGGACGUCGGGCCAGCAUAUCACGGCGUAUACGGGUAGCAAUUUCUGUUUAAUUUAAUUUUGUUGCAAUAAUAGACAAAAAAAUCAAUUGGAAAAUUAUCUUACCGAAUGCUCUAUUGGAGAUGGCAGCCAGCUCUGCAGUCGUUGGCGUGCGAGUGAACACAUGAAAAAACUGGUCGAUCUCCAGGCAAGCGUUAGCAAACGGGCAACCAGGAUCCACCAAGUUGUAUGGGCGAUACACGCCAUCGGAGGAAGUGGAUGAUGCGUAGGACAAUGAGGAUGAAGAAGAUCCGGUAGAUGCUACUGAAUCUGCUCGGGAAGACAUUAUGUAAAGGUCACUCGUUAACUCAAGCUUACUAAAUCUACAGUGCUGUUAUAAGGUAACAGUAAAAGAUCCAAGAAGCGUCCAAAAACUACUGCUCAAGCAACUGAUGGUUUAACUGUGGCUGCAGUUGGUUUAUAUUAGCAAAAAUUUGGUUUCCAGAUUUUUCACCGUACUUGCCUUUUGUUUCCUUACAGUCGGUCUGGUUAAGGCUCUUUCUCCUUCGUAAGACUAAACCUUACUGUUUCCGUACAUACGUGUAAGGGAAAACUUUUAACCAUCAAGGCACGAAGCAUACGGCUGAGUUUCUUAGUACAAAUGUUAAGAGAAAAGACAAGUUUUUGUGGAAUUUUGGUAUGCGUUGAAGUAAAGGAAAGUUGAGAGGAGACCUAUGACAAGAGGUUAGAGCGCAAGCAAUAAACAGUAAUCCGUCUCGCGACCCGGAUAAGAGCCAUUAUGUUCUUGUUUUUCUGGGUCAAGCGACGAUUUGAUUUACCCUGCAUCCGUAUCUUAGAUCCUGAAUAAGUCGCGUCAGCGACCUGAUUUCUAUUGUUUGAGAAUUUUGGUAUAAUGGCUGUCGUUCUCCUAUCCAUUUGCCCUGAUGCCUAGCUAAUAUCCCGGAUUUGUCGCGACACUGACUAAGAUUGCAUUGUGUUGCUACCGACAUAAUC